GUCAGCCCUUUCCCCUCCCGGGGGCCCGACUGGCUCAGCCUGGGCUCAGUUGCUCUCCCUUCUCUCCACGUGGUCAGUGGCCUGGGCGACCACUUUCUGCUCGGUUUUGACAGCAACCCUCAUUAGAAGACCAGGUCGGCUCCUCUGCACUCCUGUUCUCUCAGUCACACGCAUUUGUGGAACGUGUCCUGCCUCCCAGGCCCGUGCUGGACGCAAGAGGGCUGGAGGGAGGAUGACAGGAGCUCCGUCCUGGAGGCACUGACUCUCUCCCUCCCUAGAAACAACUGCCGGCAGACACGGGGUCCUUCCCCAGGCACUCCCCGGUUGCCUCCCUCCCAGCCUCUCACCUACUUGGCACCUGGCACCUCUUCCUUGUUUUGACGUCCUUUCAAGUUUCUGAGUCUCCCCAGCGGAAUGCUCAGACGGACUUCCUCCAUUCACAUCUGUGCACUGAGUGCCUGCCCCAGGGCACAGCAGCAGGGGCUAGUCCCCCGCCCUGUGGUCUGGUGUGCCAGACGGAUAAGAAAGAGGAGUAUGUGUAACAGUUUUUAUUAGAAGUUAGUUACAGACUUCCAAUACGGAAGCAGUGUCAGAACAAUCACCUGAUUGGAAAAAGAGACUUGGAGCCCAAGACAGAGGAACCUGGAUUAUCUACCCCGGAGGACGGAGGGGGCUGAGAGAGUGUCCCUCCCAGUCACCCUUGGCCACUGGAUGGCUCCGUGUUCACGACACCCUUGUGCCCAGUUUCAUUCUGGUUCCACGUGAGCUUGCUGCUGCUCUGGAAAAAUGAGUCCUUUGAGAAGGCAGUGCCACCGCACUUGACCAGUGUGUCUGUGUCUGUUGGAGGCACUGGCGUGGAGUGUCACCAUUGGAAUAAUGUUCUGUUUAUGGAGCGUUCUCUCUGAGCCGAGGGUUGUCCUGAGGACCUUACACAUGGCUAAUUUCACCCUCAGCCCUCAUGAGAGUCUGCAAGGUAGCAUCAGGGGCUGUCUGCAUCUGACACGUGAGGACACUGAGGCUCGGCAAGAUUACAGAAUUGAGGCCGAAUCAGAUCCAAACUCAGAUCUGUCAGAGUCCAGAACCCCUGGGCUUGCCCUGACAACCAUGUCACUUUCUGCUGCUCAGAAUCUUUAGAAUGCUUCGAGAUGGCCUCUGUAUGGAGCAUGUAAUUAAAUGCUGUGGAAUGAUGCUCUGAGGCAGAGCACGUCAUGUUAACUCUGGAAAUGGUGACUUGUCUGGGGCUACAUGAUCACCUCAGUGCAGAGGUUCAUUCCCAUCCCCAGCCCCGGUUCAACUGCCUUACAGGGGUACGGGGAGAUCUAGUGGGGGCUGGUUACACUGGGGAUGCAGGGGCGGGAGGUGGUUGUGCCGAGGAAGGGAUAGCUGGGUUUUCAGCAAUCUGACACAAAAAGAGAGGGCAGUCCAGAGACAAGGGUUCUGUCCCUGGGUCCUCCAUUUUCCUCAGCUAAAGAGUGGUUCUAAUAAUAGUGUCCACCUUACAAGGCCAAGUGGUAGAAGCAACCUGCUGGGCCAGGGGGGAACAGACUGCAGAACAGUCAGAGCAAGGCCAGUGACAUUCUGAUGCUACUGCUCAGGUCCCCAUUUCUAACACGUACCUGCUGCAAGCCCAGACCCGUGCCAGGUGGUGCGUCAUGAGCAAACAAUAAUGCUGACAGACUUGGCCUUGGCCUCUAGGGCUUAUAACAGAAGUUGAGAGGAGAAUGACCAAUACGAUGCGGUAGUAACACUGCAGAGAGGCCGAGGGGUAGACAUAUUUGCAGGGCAGUGUCUGUGAGCAGAAAACACUUGACAGAAAUGUCUGUAGAUACAAUGGGAUGUCCAGCACUUCAUGCUCCUACAGAGGGGGUAGACAAAAGCAAUCACCCUUUAUAGCAAUCUAAGUAGGAUAGCAAUAGGGAUAAUAGUAAUUAGUGUAUCAAAUGCCCCAGCCUCCAAAGAUAUGCACAGUCCAUUCAUUGUAGGGAAUUGAUUUGUUGGUGUUGUGGAAGAAAAGGGGCCACAUGUUAACCUGACAAGCUCAGGGGAGGCCUGCGUGGCAGCCUUACAAACUCUGACCUAAAGUAACCUAACCACAAUGGAUGGUCUGAAAUGAAAACUUUCUAACUAUAAGCAGUUCAUGGCAGAUGUUCCUGUCCCAGGCCAGUAACAAAGUCAACCUUUAACUUAACUGAGCCUGUCUGUUGUCUUUUUGCAUCCAUGAUAACAUACCUUUGGAAUGUCAAAUUUCCUUUUUCCUGACCCCUCAAAGCACAGGCGCUGCACCAGGGGGCAAAUCCCCUCAUUGUUAUUGUUAUUAUGUUAAUUGUUGACUAUUAACUAUCCUGUACCCACCAGUGGAAAAGUGUCUAUUAUUUUACUUUUUACCCAACCCCAGAGGUUUCCCUGUUUAGCUUUCUCCCGCCUCCCUUAUCUAUCUCUAAGGGAUUUCCUGUAUGCCCCUUGGGCCUCCCUCUUUUGAUGGUAAUAUAUAAAAUAAGGUGCUAAAGUGCCAUUCUCUGGAGCAUUUUCUCAGUACAUUGGGAUUUUGCUUCCCUGGAACUGUCUUCAGUUUGGCUCAA